rnacentral:rRNA from 1 species
GAUGAACGCUGGCGGCGUGCCUAAUACAUGCAAGUCGAGCGAACAGACGAGGAGCUUGCUCCUCUGACGUUAGCGGCGGACGGGUGAGUAACACGUGGAUAACCUACCUAUAAGACUGGGAUAACUUCGGGAAACCGGAGCUAAUACCGGAUAAUAUAUUGAACCGCACGGUUCAAUAGUGAAAGACGGUUUUGCUGUCACUUAUAGAUGGAUCCGCGCCGCAUUAGCUAGUUGGUAAGGUAACGGCUUACCAAGGCAACGAUGCGUAGCCGACCUGAGAGGGUGAUCGGCCACACUGGAACUGAGACACGGUCCAGACUCCUACGGGAGGCAGCAGUAGGGAGUCUUCCGCAAUGGGCGAAAGCCUGACGGAGCAACGCCGCGUGAGUGAUGAAGGUCUUCGGAUCGUAAAACUCUGUUAUUAGGGAAGAACAAAUGUGUAAGUAACUAUGCACGUCUUGACGGUACCUAAUCAGAAAGCCACGGCUAACUACGUG